GUCGAACGCGAAAGUCCCGCAAGGGAUUAGUAGAGUGGCAAACGGGUGAGUAACACGUGGGUGACCUGCCUUCGAGUGGGGGAUAACGUCCCGAAAGGGACGCUAAUACCGCAUGACAUCCUGCCUUUGAAGAGGUGGAGCUUAAAGCUGGGGAUCGCAAGACCUGGCGCUUGAAGAGGGGCCCGCGCCUGAUUAGCUAGUUGGUGAGGUAACGGCUCACCAAGGCAUCGAUCAGUAUCCGGCCUGAGAGGGCGGACGGACACACUGGGACUGAGACACGGCCCAGACUCCUACGGGAGGCAGCAGUGGGGAAUUGUUCGCAAUGGGCGCAAGCCUGACGACGCAACGCCGCGUGGAGGAUGAAGAUCUUCGGGUCGUAAACUCCUUUCGAUCGAGACGAACGACUUCCGGGUGAAUAGUCCGGAAGAGUGACGGUACCGAGAGAAGAAGCCCCGGCUAACUCCGUGCCAGCAGCCGCGGUAAUACGGGGGGGGCAAGCGUUGUUCGGAAUUACUGGGCGUAAAGGGCUCGUAGGCGGCCAACUAAGUCAGACGUGAAAUCCCUCGGCUUAACCGGGGAACUGCGUCUGAUACUGGAUGGCUUGAGAUUGGGAGAGGGAUGCGGAAUUCCAGGUGUAGCGGUGAAAUGCGUAGAUAUCUGGAGGAACACCGGUGGCGAAGGCGGCAUCCUGGACCAACACUGACGCUGAGGAGCGAAAGCCAGGGGAGCAAACGGGAUUAGAUACCCCGGUAGUCCUGGCCCU
rnacentral:rRNA from 1 species